CGUGUAUAUUCAGAUAGUAGCUCUCUGUUGAGAGUUACUGUUUAUCAUAGGGACACACAUCAAUGAAUGGAUAUUUAAAUUGUGUUCUUGUUCAGAAAUAAAUUGCACUUGCAGUUUCUUGUAUGAUAUAUGGUUAACUCAGUUUACACAUUUACAAUGUUUCAGGUGGAGCUAAAGGAAGGCCUUCUGGAGCAGUUUUUUUCAUGAAAUGGAACCCUUUAUAGGCAAACAAGGACUGCCAGUUUGCCUAAACAGAGGUGUUGUUGAAUUAAUUGCUGACCAUGUAGUUUGUGAAGAAGGGAAGCCUUUCACCAGAAGCAGCACACACUCUGAUUACAGUAACUUUACAUGCUGGCUGGCAAUGGCAGCAAGGCCAAAGCGAUAAAGACCUCACCCCUCAUACCUCACAUCUCAGCACUGCAUCUUCGGUCCUGAACUACCGAAGUCGUGUCUGUUACCUAUAUCGACUCUAGCUCUGGCAAGCGAGGAUGGUAAGAGAAUAAAAGACCUGUUUCUUCCGUGCAAUCGUCUGUGUGAUGAACUGAUUCUGCUUACUUGAGGAUUUGUGCUGAGUUCACAUCAUUUACUUUGCGAUCCAUGAUGUCCAAUUUAAGAAUAGUGGUUGCGUGAUGGGGAUAUUUUGAACAAUCUGUGUAAAAUUUAGCUUUCAGGACAGGGCAUCAGCAGGGUGUUGAUUUAGGAGUUUUAGGCGGUUUUCUGUAAUUGAUAUGUGCAGCCCUCUGCUUUGAUGAACUGCGAGUUUCGUUUAGGGCGUACUCCCUUUGAUCGGGAUCUGAUCAUACCCUUUGAGGCGGGCUCUUUAUUGAGUAGUGAUUUAUUAUCGGAUUAUUGUGCUUCAGGCUAGUUUUCCAUGCAGAGAUGGAUCAAUAAUGCUAAUACACAGAUUUUUACCCUGAUCAGUCCGCUCGCAGAUGCACAACUUUUUUUCUUCCAAAGCUGCUCAUAUAAGGUGCUUUUCUCAAGCUAUCGUAGAUCUGAUCAUAUAGUGACAUAUAUGCUUCCUGCUCCUGAUUAUCAUUUUAGGCGCCUCAUAAGUAAUAGUGUUAUCAUUCUAAGCACCUCAUAAGUUCUUACAUCCUAAUUUGUUCUCAAUCACCGGUACUAUUUUGAUUUCCCUUCCAACUUUCUGAAAUCUAUUUCAUCUUGAAGAAAAAGUGUGACGGAUAGUGUUCUCAAAUAAAAAGUAGAAGUAGAAGCCUAGAGCUGCAAAGUAGCAUACUGCCCUCAAAGAAGCUCUGAUUUAGUUUCUUGAUUCAGUAGGAAUGCUUUUUAGAUAAUAUAGGAGACUGGGAGGUUCCAUUCUUUGGUCAAUGGCAUUUUCUACGGAGUUAUCCGCUGUAAAUUUCACAUAUUUAUCCAGAGGCCACAAUCUCUCCAAUGUGAUUAUCCACUCCCCGCCCCCUCCAUAGAACAAUUCUCCUAUAUUUUUAUUUAUUUAUUAUACAUAUUUCCGCGUGUAAUCUUGGUUUAGUGCAUUUCUGGUGCAGUGGUGACAUGAUGUGAUUACAAUUGUUAAUAACUUGAUCGACAGUUUGCCGAUCAUUUAGAACAUCAAUUAGCUAACGAAAUUUGAUGAUGGGCCACUGAACACAAUUUAUACUGCGCACUUGUUUGCUGACGUCUCUCGCCUCAUCAAGGUCUGAACUCCAGCUUGACACCCUUUCCGCUGAGUAGUACCAGGUAACUCGUGAGACUGUUCUUUUUCUGUUUUAGUUUUUAUAUUUUUAGGACUUUUGUCUGCAGUUAGUGUUAUAAGAAUCACCUUUAACUUGAAAUAAAUGAAUGCUAGCAUGUUCCAUUUGAAUUGAUUAACAAGUGCAGUUCAUAGAUCUAUAUCUAGGUGCAUCUAGUUGUUUUUUACAGUAAAAUCACCUAGAUAUGGUUAGUUAAUAUUAGGAGACUGGAGAUUACAUGAUUGUCCUGGUAGCCAGUACCUAUGUGGUUCAAGCUAAAUGUUAUUUUUCAUUCUAUUUCUUUCUUGGUUUUUUAUAGUCUUACUAUCCACCACCCUAACGAUCCAUUCUCUAGAUUUCAUUCUCUUUAAUUAUGUUGGAUUUAGGAAAUAAUGGUCAGGUGCAUUGCAGGUACAGGGAACACCAUUUGUACAAUUACAGGUUGCAACAAGAAAGUUCUGGUUACAUCUCAAUGGCAAUUAAUUGUAUCAUCAUAUUCGUGCAAAUAAGGAGGUCCUGGUACCAAUAAUUUCUCAGUAGGAAUAUGUCAUGGAGGUUUAUUUGUUGGUAAUGGUAUUAACAAGAGCUAUGUCGAUGGAUCAGUUAUUUGGUUUGAUGAUUGCGACACUGAAAGUUGGUCUCCUGCAAUGGUUGAAAAUCUGGUGGAUAAAAUUGGUUAUGAAAUGCAGGGAGAAUAAGGGCACAUUAUUUGAUCCAAUACUGACAAUGGUUAGGAAGUGAUGAUGAUACACACUUUAUGAGCACAUUUGUUGGUAUUGGCCACCACUUCUUCAGCAUCUACCUGGACCAUGAUGAAUCCAUCAGAGCAAGGGAUUGGGAUGAUGUAGUUGAAUUUCCCGUGGUUGAUCUUCCUCCAGCUGUUAGCCAUGCAAAGCCCAUAUCUCUGGAUGAUGAAGAAGGAAUAGUGGACAAUCCCCAUGUCCCUCUUUUAGUUAUUUUUGAGAUAGAAGAAGUGAGAUCUAGGGAGGAAGAAGUAACCAGAGGAAGGGAUGGGAUGAAAACCAGAAGCAACCAUAAGAUUGUGAGAGAACAAAAAGAAGUUGAUGAAGAGGAUGAAGAAGCAUACAAUGGUGAAGAGGAUGCAUACUUCAACAUGCAUGAUUCUGGCUAUGAGAUCAGUGAUGCUGAUGAUGAUUUCUUUGUCAGCCAUGUUGAUGAAGAUGAAGAAGAGGUCAAGAAACAUAGUGCACAUGGUAAAGAAAAGCUGGAAUAAGAAGAUGAGUCAGAGCUUGAUGAUCUAUGGGCCCCUGACUCAGAAGAUGAGAAGGUCAAGGUAAGGUUAAAGACAUUCAAAGAGAAAGAUUUGAAAGAUCCCAAGUUCAAAGUUGGUCAAAUGUUUGAGACAGUUGACAUGCUAAGGAAAGCAAUCAGAGAGUACAAUUGCUUACAAAGAAGAUCUAUCAAGAUGCCAAUAAAUGACAAGAGAAGGCUGUGUGCUAAGUGUUCAGGAGCAGAUGACUGUCCAUUUUAUUUGUGGGCAUCUUACAAUAAAUCCAUAGAUUCUUGGUUGAUCAAGAAGUUCAAUGAGAAGCACACAUGCAACAGGAAAUUUAAAGUUAGUGCAUUUACUACUAACUUUGUUGCAGACAAGUAUUUGGAAAGUUUCAGAGCUGAUCAAGACAUGAACUUGAAGAAUUUUUCAAGAGUGGUUCAGAAGCAAUGGCACAUGACACCUGGUAGGAGCAAGAUGCGGAGAGCCAGGAGACUUGCUAUGAAGACAAUUUAUGGUGAUAAAGAAGAAUAAUACAAGCUUCUUUGGGACUAUGGUAAUGAAAUUAGAAGGAGUAACCCUGGCUCUUCUUUCUUUCUAACAUGCAAUGCAAGUGGUAGAUUCAGUAGAUGCUAAAUGAGUCUUGAUGCCUGCAAAAGAGGGUUUUUACAAGGUUGUAGGCCAAUUAUAUUUGUGGGUGGAUGUUUCAUCAAGACAAGAUACAAAGGCCAAUUGCUUGCUGAUGUAGGUAUAGAUUCAAAUGACUGUAUCUUUCCUAUUGCAAUUGCUGCUGUAGAGGUGGAAGACACAACAAACUGGACAUGGUUUCUUCAAAGUUUGAAGAAUGACCUGGGUAUAGUCAACACUGCUCCAUGGACACGGACGUCAGACAAGCAGAAAGGCCUCACUAAUACAGUGAAGGACCAAUUCCCUGAAUCCGAACACAGGUUUUGUGUGAGGCAUAUGUGGCAAAAUUUCCAGCAAGUUUUCAGGAGUGAUGCUCUUAAGAAUGCUUUAUGGACUUUAGCUAGAAGCAUUACUGUAGCCAAGUAUGAGAGGAGCAUGGAAUACAUGAAAGCACUGAACCCUGAUGCUCAUGCUUUGGUUGACAAGUUGGACCCUAAAACCUGGGUUAGGGCAUUCCAAAGUGACCUUCCUAAAUGUGGCAUAUUGUUGAACAACAACUGUGAAGUUUUCAACAAGUACAUUUUAGAAGCAAGGGAGUUGCCUGUCCUUAGUAUGUUUGACAGAGUCAAAAAUCAAAUGAUAACUAGGCAUUACAGUAAAGGGAAAGAGGCAGCUGUGAUGACCGGAAUUCUUACACCCAAGAUCAAGAAGAAGCUGAAAAAAACAUAGAGUUAGCUAACUAUAGCUUUGCUGAAGGAGCUGGUGAUGGGCUACUUAAACUGAGUGAAGUGGUUUGCUCAACUCCGACAAACUACAUUGUGGAUCUCAAGAGCAGAACAUGUAAUUGCAAGAGGUGAGAGAAGAGUGGCAUUCCAUGCCCACAUGCCAUCUCAUGCAUCAGAUAUGAUGAGAAAGAUCCAGUGACUUAUGUUGACAAGUGUUACUCAGUGGACAUGUACAAGAAAACCUAUGGACAUAUUGGUUACCCUUGCAAGGACAAAACGGACUGGGAAAAGAUGCAUGGGCCUAUCAUCUUGCCUCCUGCAUUCCAGACUGAAGUGCCAGGUUAAAUGCUAUGUAAUUACUUGCAAUUGUAUUAUUUUGAUUUCACUGAAGUGGCAGAUAUGUAAUGUCAACUUCCUACUGUCUUAUUUUGGUAUCAAUGAAAAGCCUGGUUCCAAAUAGGCUUCACAUAUACAUUUCAUAGAUAAAUUUCAUACAUAUACAAUGGCUUGACAGAUACAUUUCA